UACGUAGGUGGCAAGCGUUGUCCGGAAUUAUUGGGCGUAAAGCGCGCGCAGGCGGUCCUUUAAGUCUGAUGUGAAAGCCCACGGCUCAACCGUGGAGGGUCAUUGGAAACUGGGGGACUUGAGUGCAGAAGAGGAGAGUGGAAUUCCCAGUGUAGAGGUGAAAUUCGUAGAUAUUGGGAAGAACACCGGUGGCGAAGGCGGCUCACUGGCUCGUUUCUGACGCUCAGGCGCGACAGCGUGGGGAUCAAACAGG
rnacentral:rRNA from 1 species